rnacentral:rRNA from 1 species
CCUACGGGCGACAGCAGUCGAGAAUCAUUCACAAUGGGGGAAACCCUGAUGGUGCGACGCCGCGUGGGGGAAUGAAGGUCUUCGGAUUGUAAACCCCUGUCAUGUGGGAGCAAAUUAAAAAGAUAGUACCACAAUAGGAAGAGACGGCUAACUCUGUGCCAGCAGCCGCGGUAAUACAGAGGUCUCAAGCGUUGUUCGGAAUCACUGGGCGUAAGGCGUGCGUAGGCUGUUUCGUAAGUCGUGUGUGAAAGGCGCGGGCUCAACCCGCGGACGGCACAUGAUACUGCGAGACUAGAGUAAUGGAGGGGGAACCGGAAUUCUCGGUGUAGCAGUGAAAUGCGUAGAGAUCGAGAGGAACACUCGUGGCGAAGGCGGGUUCCUGGACAUUAACUGACGCUGAGGCACGAAGGCCAGGGGAGCGAAAGGGAUUAGAUACCCCUGUAGUC